GAUGAAGAACGUAGCGAAAUGCGAUAAGUAAUGUGAAUUGCAGAAUUCAGUGAAUCAUCGAAUCUUUGAACGCACAUUGCGCCCGGCAGUAAUCUGCCGGGCAUGCCUGUCCGAGCGUCAUUUCACCCCUCGAGCCGCUUUUAGUGGAUCGGUGUUGGGGCACUACGGUAAAACGUAGGCCCUGAAAUGAAGUGGCGGUCCCGCCGCGGUGCCCCCAUGUGUAGUAACGUUUAGUCUCGCAUCGGGUCCCGGCGGAGGCCUGCCGUCAAGCCUAUUUAUUCUCAGAAUAGUUUGACCUCGGAUCAGGUAGGGUUACCCGCUGAACUUAAGCAUAUCAAUAAGCGGAGGA
rnacentral:misc_RNA from 1 species